AGUGAACGCUGGCGGUAGGCCUAACACAUGCAAGUCGAACGGCAGCACAGUAAGAGCUUGCUCUUACGGGUGGCGAGUGGCGGACGGGUGAGGAAUACAUCGGAAUCUACUUUUUCGUGGGGGAUAACGUAGGGAAACUUACGCUAAUACCGCAUACGACCUACGGGUGAAAGCAGGGGAUCUUCGGACCUUGCGCGAUUGAAUGAGCCGAUGUCGGAUUAGCUAGUUGGCGGGGUAAAGGCCCACCAAGGCGACGAUCCGUAGCUGGUCUGAGAGGAUGAUUGGCCCCCCUGGAACGGGGCACCGGGCCAAACUCCUCCCGGGGGAGCCAGUGGGGAAUAUUGGGCAAGGGGGCGAAACCUUAUCCCCCCCUCCCCGGGGGGGGAAAAAGGGCCCCGGGUUUGAAAAUCCUUUUUUUUGGGAAAAAAAGGAGGAAGUUUAAACCCCCGUUUUUUGACGGUAACCAAAAAAAAAGCCACGGCUAACUUCGUG
rnacentral:rRNA from 1 species